AGAGUUUGAUCAUGGCUCAGGAUGAACGCUGGCGGCGUGCCUAACACAUGCAAGUCGAACGGGGUGUCUGAUCUUCGGACUGGACACUUAGUGGCGGACGGGUGAGUAACGCGUGGGUAACCUGCCUCAUACAGGGGGAUAGCAGUUGGAAACGACUGAUAAUACCGCAUAAGCGCACAGUACCGCAUGGUACAGUGUGAAAAAACUCCGGUGGUAUGAGAUGGACCCGCGUCUGAUUAGCUUGUUGGCGGGGUAACGGCCCACCAAGGCGACGAUCAGUAGCCGGCCUGAGAGGGUGAACGGCCACAUUGGGACUGAGACACGGCCCAAACUCCUACGGGAGGCAGCAGUGGGGAAUAUUGCACAAUGGGGGAAACCCUGAUGCAAGCGACGCCGCGUGAAGGAUGAAGUAUUUCGGUAUGUAAACUUCUAUCAGCAGGGAAGAUGAUGACGGUACCUGACUAAGAAGCCCCGGCUAACUACGUGCCAGCCGCGGC
rnacentral:rRNA from 1 species